rnacentral:rRNA from 1 species
AGCUUGACACUGAACAUUGAGCCUUGAUGUGUAGGAUAGGUGGGAGGCUUUGAAGUGUGGACGCCAGUCUGCAUGGAGCCGACCUUGAAAUACCACCCUUUAAUGUUUGAUGUUCUAACGUUGACCCGUGAUCCGGGUUGCGGACAGUGUCUGGUGGGUAGUUUGACUGGGGCGGUCUCCUCCUAAAGAGUAACGGAGGAGCACGAAGGUUGGCUAAUCCUGGUCGGACAUCAGGAGGUUAGUGCAAUGGCAUAAGCCAGCUUGACUGCGAGCGUGACGGCGCGAGCAGGUGCGAAAGCAGGUCAUAGUGAUCCGGUGGUUCUGAAUGGAAGGGCCAUCGCUCAACGGAUAAAAGGUACUCCGGGGAUAACAGGCUGAUACCGCCCAAGAGUUCAUAUCGACGGCGGUGUUUGGCACCUCGAUGUCGGCUCAUCACAUCCUGGGGCUGAAGUAGGUCCCAAGGGUAUGGCUGUUCGCCAUUUAAAGUGGUACGCGAGCUGGGUUUAGAACGUCGUGAGACAGUUCGGUCCCUA